UACAGAGGUGGCAAGCGUUGUUCGGAAUUACUGGGCGUAAAGGGCGCGUAGGCGGCCUUGUAAGUCCUGUGUGAAAUCCCCCGGCUCAACUGGGGAACUGCACAGGAGACUGCUUGGCUUGAGUUCGGGAGAGGGAAGCGGAAUUCCGGGUGUAGCGGUGAAAUGCGUAGAUAUCCGGAGGAACACCGGUGGCGAAGGCGGCUUCCUGGACCGACACUGACGCUGAGGCGCGAAAGCCAGGGGAGCGAACGGG
rnacentral:rRNA from 1 species